GUAGAGUAAGUGGAGCAGAGACCAUUGGUUAUUGUGCGAAGAAGGAGCCAUGUGGACUGCGCAUGAUCUUUGUUAUUUCAGAACCCAUAUACACCGAGCUCACCAAACAUGGAAAAUCCAUGUGUAGCCUCUACAGAGCCACAUUUUGAGAUUAAUUCUGAAGCAAUUGCGGAAGAAAAGCCUGGAUGUUUCAUCAAACAGUAUUCUACGUUGGAAAAGA